GAUGAACGCUAGCGGCAGGCUUAAUACAUGCAAGUCGAGGGGCAGCACGGGUAGCAAUACCUGGUGGCGACCGGCAAACGGGUGCGGAACACGUACAGAACCUUCCUUCAAGUGGGCAUAGCCCAGAGAAAUUUGGAUUAAUACCCCGUAAUAUUAUGAGUUGGCAUCAGCUUAUAAUUAUAGAUUUAUCGCUUGAAGAUGGCUGUGCGGCUGAUUAGGUAGUUGGCGGGGUAACGGCCCACCAAGCCUGCGAUCAGUAACUGGUGUGAGAGCACGACCAGUCACACGGGCACUGAGACACGGGCCCGACUCCUACGGGAGGCAGCAGUAAGGAAUAUUGGUCAAUGGACGCAAGUCUGAACCAGCCAUGCCGCGUGAAGGAUGAAGGUCCUCUGGAUUGUAAACUUCUUUUAUCUGGGACGAAACCCUCGAAUUCUUUCGGGAUUGACGGUACCAGAGGAAUAAGCACCGGCUAACUCCGUGCCAGCAGCCGCAGUAAAAC
rnacentral:rRNA from 1 species